rnacentral:rRNA from 1 species
AUUGAACGCUGGCGGCAGGCCUAACACAUGCAAGUCGAGCGAGCGGCGGACGGGUGAGUAAUGUAUGGGGACUGUCCGCUAUAGGGGGAUAACUCCUGGAAACGGUAGCUAAAACCGCAUACUAUCGGAUAACCCAUAUUGGAUUAGCUAGUAGGUGAGGUAAUGGUUCUCCUCGGCGACGAUCCCUAGCUGUUCUGAGAGGAUGAUCAGCCACACUGGGACUGAGACACGGCCCAGACUCCUACGGAGGCAGCAGUGGGGAAUAUUGCACAAUGGGCGAAAGCCUGAUGCAGCCAUUCCGCGUGUAUGAAGAAGGCCCUAGGGUUGUAAAGUACUUUCAGUCGGGAGGCGUUACCUGCAGAAGAAGCACCGGCUAACUCCGUGCCAGCAGCCGCGGUAAUAC